rnacentral:rRNA from 1 species
GACGAACGCUGGCGGCGUGCUUAACACAUGCAAGUCGAACGAAGUGGCGAACGGGUGAGUAACGCGUAAUCAACCUGCCCUUCAGAGGGGGACAACAGUUGGAAACGACUGCUAAUACCGCAUACUGAGGGAGGGGAUGGCGUCUGAUUAGCUAGUUGGAGGGGUAACGGCCCACCAAGGCGAUGAGCAGUCGCCGUGCUGAGAGGAUGAACGGCCACAUUGGGAUGGAGGCACGGCCCCGACUCCUACGGGAGGCAGCAGUGGGGAAUCUUCCGCAAUGGACGAAAGUCUGACGGAGCAACGCCGCGGGAGUGAUGACGGCCUUCGGGUUGUAAAGCUCUGUUAAUCGGGACGCGGUACCGGAAUAGAAAGCCACGGCUAACUACGUGCCAGCAGCCGCGGUAAUAC